rnacentral:rRNA from 1 species
AUUGAACGCUGGCGGCAUGCCUUACACGUGCAAGUCGAACGGCAGCGGACCUUCGGGUGCCGGCGAGUGGCGAACGGGUGAGUAAAGUAUCGGAACGUACCUUUCAGUGGGGGAUAACUGUCCGAAAGGACAGCUAAUACCGCAUAUUCUGUGAGCAGGAAAGCAGGGGAUCGCAAGACCUUGCGCUGAUUGAGCGGCCGAUAUCAGAUUAGCUAGUUGGUGAGGUAAAGGCUCACCAAGGCGACGAUCUGUAGCGGGCCUGAGAGGAUGAUCCGCCACACUGGAACUGAGACACGGUCCAGACUCCUACGGGAGGCAGCAGUGGGGAAUUUUGGACAAUGGGGGCAACCCUGAUCCAGCCAUGCCGCGUGAGUGAAGAAGGCCUC